rnacentral:rRNA from 1 species
GAUGAACGCUGGCGGCGUGCCUAAUACAUGCAAGUCGAGCGAACGGACGAGAAGCUUGCUUCUCUGAUGUUAGCGGCGGACGGGUGAGUAACACGUGGAUAACCUACCUAUAAGACUGGGAUAACUUCGGGAAACCGGAGCUAAUACCGGAUAAUAUUUUGAACCGCAUGGUUCAAAAGUAAAAGACGGUCUUGCUGUCACUUAUAGAUGGAUCCGCGCUGCAUUAGCUAGUUGGUAAGGUAACGGCUUACCAAGGCAACGAUGCAUAGCCGACCUGAGAGGGUGAUAGGCCACACUGGAACUGAGACACGGGCCAGACUCCUACGGGAGGCAGCAGUAGGGAAUCUUCCGCAAUGGGCGAAAGCCUGACGGAGCAACGCCGCGUGAGUGAUGAAGGUAUUCGGAUCGUAAAACUCUGUUAUUAGGGAAGAACAUAUGUGUAAGUAACUGUGCACAUCUUGACGGUACCUAAUCAGAAAGCCACGGCUAACUACGUG